CCGGGAACGCGAGAGCAAACCGCGGCGAAGCUGGUCUCCUUCCCCGGUUUGCUAUCGCGUUCCCCGAACAAGCAGGUCUCCUUCCCUACGGUUUGCAGGGUGGUUCGGGGAACGCGAGAGCAAACCGCGGCGAAGCUGGUCUCCUUUCCCGGUUUGCUCUCUCGUUCCCCGAACCCCCGAGCAAGCAGGUCUCCUUCCCUGCGGUUUGCAGGGUGGUUCGGGGAACGCGCGAGCAAACCGCGGCGAAGCUGGUCUCCUUUCCUGGUUUGCUCUCUCGUUCCCCGAACCCCCGAGCAAGCAGGUCUCCUUCCCUGCGGUUUGCAGGGUGGUUCGGGGAACGCGAGAGCAAACCGCGGCGAAGCUGGUCUCCUUUCCCGGUUUGCUCUCGCGUUCCCCGAACCCCCCUUGAAGCCGCCCAACAGCGCUGCAGUUUGGCCACAUCUAACACCACUUGCAGCGCUGGUUGCUGUAAGUGUGGCCACUCUGCAGCGCUGGCCCUAUACAGCUGUACUAAUACAGCUGUAACAACCAGCGCUGCAAAAUUUUAGAUGUAGACAUG